rnacentral:rRNA from 1 species
UACGGGGGGGAGCAAGCGUUGUUCGGAUUUACUGGGCGUAAAGGGCGGGUAGGCGGCCACCGCAAGUCAGUUGUGAAAUCUCUGGGCUUAACCCAGAAAGGUCAACUGAUACUGCGGGGCUAGAGUGCAGAAGGGGCAACUGGAAUUCUCGGUGUAGCGGUGAAAUGCGUAGAUAUCGAGAGGAACACCUGCGGCGAAGGCGGGUUGCUGGACAGUUCCUGACGCUGAGGCACGAAGGCCAGGGGAGCAAACGGG